rnacentral:rRNA from 1 species
UAGUCCACGCCGUAAACGAUGAUUACUCGCUGUAGGCGAUACACAGUCUGUGGCUAAGCGAAAGUUUUAAGUAAUCCACCUGGGGAGUACGAUCGCAAGAUUGAAACUCAAAGGAAUUGACGGGGGCCCGCACAAGCGGAGGAACAUGUGGUUUAAUUCGAUGAUACGCGAGGAACCUUACCUGGACUUAAAUGUGCGUUGCAUGGAUCAGAGAUGGUCCUUUCUUCGGACUACGUACAAGGUGCUGCAUGGUUGUCGUCAGCUCGUGCCGUGAGGUGUCGGGUUAAGUCCCAUAACGAGCGCAACCCUUGUCUUUAGUUGCCAUCAUUUAGUUGGGCACUCUAGAGAAACUGCCGGUGACAAACCGGAGGAAGGUAAGGAUGACGUCAAGUCAGCAUGCCCCUUACGCUCUGGGCUACACACGUGCUACAAUGGUCGUGACAAAGAGUUGCUAGUCUGCGAAGGCAAGCCAAUCUCAUAAACGCGGCCUUAGUUCGGAUUGCAGG